GGGGGGGGGGGGCGGCGUGCUGGGCGACGGGGGCGGAAAGCGGGGACGUCGGAGGACACGCUAUAGGGGAUCGUCCCCGAGCUGCUCGCACCUCUGAAGAAGCUGAGCUCUUUCCAUACAGGCUUUCAACAUGCUGUCACAGUAAAACCUCCCUCAGAAGCCUGGCCUGGUGUGCAUCAGUGGAUGUUAGGAGAAAACUUGAGUCUGUCUGUGUUCUGGCACACACCAAAUUACACCUCUGUUUGCAGGUGAGUAAGCCAAGCGCACCAUACGCUGGGCUGCAGCUUCAUGUGUGGGCCUGAGAUAGAUGAGUUGCAGCCUUUCGUGGGAGGGCCAAAAAGGCGAAUGGAUUUUGUCAGCGCCAUGGGAUUGUGCUGCUUUUGUAAUUCUACAGGUGUGCUGCAGUGAGGUACAGGCAGCUUGUAUCUGAUGCAUCUUAUGUAUGAUGCACCUUUUAUCGGUGUGGAUGCACAAUGCCAACUCAGCAAGGCAGGCUGUAGCCAGUCUCACCUGGUCUCCUCUGGUACAAACAUACAGAGAUGCCUUAAAAGAAUCACAGGGAGAAAUGCCAAUGCAUUUCUCAGGCAGAGUGUGUUUCUCUAUUAAGAAAGGCAGUGGCAUGGCACUCUUCAAAAUGCAAUUGAGAAAAGCACUCCAGAAAAUUGUUUUUCAGGCAGAUGUUUUAAUUGUCUAAACAGUCAACAGAACGGGUCCUGACUAUUAAACUGAAAGGGGGAAGUCUCUUAUAGCUUACAGCACAAAAGGAAAAACAGCAGGUACUCAUCCAGUUGUGUCACAGAACUUUUUCCCUGGCUCUUGCUUAUUCCCUUACUUAAAAACAGCAGUUCAGCUCUGUGGAGCACUGUAAGACAAUCAGUUAAAGCCCCUGGUGGGUAAGCAUUGGAACAAUACUGAUAAAACGAGUACCUGGGAAUAGAUGCCACAGCAAAUUAGUUUUGUACUAAUGCUCCCUUCUGCGAUGACAUAAGGAAACUGUGCUUGAGUGAAGUAUCUUUUAAUCUAUUAAAUUUGUGUAAACAGAGAAUUAAACUGUAAAUCACAAUUUAAGUGGUAGAGAUUCAUGAGGAGGUUUUGGGAAGACUUUAAUCACCUUCAUCAAUCCUCUGCUGUUGGUGAAAGUAUCUACUGCUAUCAUUUGCUUGAGCUAGUUAGCCCUCAUUCAUUCUACAUGUUAGAGGAUAAGGAUACCUUAAUAUAUUAGCCUCAAAUGGAGAAAAAAAUCCACAACUCUGAAAAAUGACCGGUAGAUGAUUAUGGUUUUUUAAUACACAAAGGAACACUAAUAAUAAACUGAGUGGAGUUAUAUUUUUAAACCAAAAAGGUCAUGGGUAUUCGGGUAUCUCCUCAAGAUUCUUUUAGGUCAACAUCACUACUGAAAGGUUACUUGUCCCCUGAAAAUAUCUGAUAUUCUUGAGAUUCUGCUUCCAUCAUCCUUAUAUAGUGUUCUUUUAAUGUAAGGUUAUGUUUUGUUAUCUACUGCGUAUGGUACUUACCUUCACAGAUGACAAUGCUGAGGAUGUUUUUUCCAAAAGAAAAACUUCAUUUAGUUGUCAGUCCUAAUACUUACAGGCACUUUCUUAUUUACAUAGCCACAACUGAAUAAUAGUUUCAGUGGGUGUUUGAACAACUAGUUGCAAAAUUGGGCGCUCAGAUCUCCUUGUAGAAAGGAACAGUAUUUCUAUAGUACACUCCACAAAGGUCUAUGAAAUAUAUAAGACAAUAUAAAUAAUGCUCACCUCCCAGUGUUGUUUAUUAGGACAUCACUUCUUAAAACAUAUCCCUAUUUGAUUUUGCUAAGGCCAGUCCAGUCUCUAAUUAAUAAUUAACAUCAAAAUACUAAAACUUGACAUAGGAGCUAGUCAAAAUUCAAAACAUUUUUCACUGACAUUACAGCUGCUGCAGCCAUGUUUCAUGAAGUUGCUUUUUUCAAGUAUGCAAUAAGAUCAGCUCUUUCAUUCUGCUUUUUAAUUCCAGCAAAAAUCAUUUUUGUACCGGGAAUUUAUUUCUUAGGGUUCCCCAAAUACUCCAUCAGUGUAUUCUCACUCCAGUCAACUCCUGAAAAACAAAAUCAUUGUAAAAUACAAGGCUGGCCCAACGUAAUAUAUUUAUGAAAAUAUCAACAAUCUCAAAUCAAAGGUGCGACGCUCCUGAACAUGUGCCUAGAAUCCAAGAGGAAUGUAAACAUAAAUGAUAUAUAAUAUAAAAUGCACAAGGUAUACAUUGUCUUUGUGUCACUUUAGUAAGUCACAUAUAAAUCCAAAAGGAUGCAUCAUGGAGAGUUGCAGUUCUUUGCACCAUUUUACACACAACUACUUACUACUUUUAAACUAUGUAAGUAUCUUCAUAAUUCCAGUAUCCAGAAGAUCCAACUUUAAUUUCAUACAGUUGUUGAAAAUGAGCAUCUACAGAUUGACAUGAAAUUACCAAGGCUGUGCUCCAUUGGAGGGCAUUAGUAAAAGGGUUGUCAAUGAGGUUGUCAAGAGUUCCCGGAAUCUCUUGACUGAAGUUGAAAAACUGUUAGUGUUCCCUUCCAACCCUGCUAAAACCUGUCUCUGACAACAGAAGCCUGCUGUUGUGCUGAAGACUACUGAAAUACCUGUAACCACGUGUUCAAGUUUCUCUUCUGUCCUCCAGAGCUGACUCUUCCCACUGUCUAAAGUGGAUUUAGGCAUCACUUUGUUGGCUUUCUUUUAAAAACUUGUACUAACAUCUGUAUGAUUUGUUCACUAAUUUUUAAUGAAAAAAAUAGUUAAUAUAUGCUGACGAUGUUUUGUAUGAAGGGAGUCCCAGUGUAAAGUGAAUGUCACAAAACAUUUCCUAGAAAUCACAGAAAAAUAAAAAAGUCAGCCAAUUUUAAAGCACCUUAGUAACCAGAAAAAAAACAGGACUGUAUUGUAAUUAGUAGCUUGAUUCAAAUAAUAUAAUUUAUAUUUAAAUAAUAUAAAUAAAAACAGUGAAACCCACACAGAAUUACUUUCCAUUUCUAGAUGUUCAACUGCUUUUCAAGACUGUCUGUAUGAAAAACACAAGACAAGUCAUAGCUUACUAGUAGGUGACAGUAUUUAGUCAAGUGUUAUGAGCAAAACAAGUGCAGCACACCACGAUGCCAGUAGAGGGUAGUGACCAGCAAACAACAUCUAGAAGCACUCUUAGGAAACAAAUUAAAAUCUGUCCAUUGAUACUACAGAGUUCUGGGAAAGUUAUAUACCUUCUGACCUGGUAUGCUGAAUAUUGGUAAAAUUUCUUUUUAAUAUAGGGACCGAGGAUUUUUGUUUCUGAAACUAUAGUUCAGAUUCAUCUGCAGUAAUGCAAAAUAGACAGC